GGGAUAUCUUUAUUUAGUUAGUGAGAAGGAAAGAGGGAGGCCCAGCCCAGAAAGCAGUGGGGUUUGGGAAAAAGCAGGAAAAGGGUGCAACUGUAGAGGGCUAUCAGCAAAAACAAAAUAUUUUGUCAAGCAAAGUGUGACUUUGAAUGCUUGCUACCUCUCUGCAAGACUUUUACAAACAUUUUAAAUGUUCCUCUCUAGUGAAUGUCAGCAUCGAAUUGCACUAGGACAUUACAGUAGGUGACUUCGUUUGUGACCUUACCGGGCUUAAAAAGAUGACCCCUCAACAAAGCACUGGCCCCUACCCCAAAGUAAACCGCAAUGAGUCAAGUAUUCAAGAGAAGGUGAAGGGAUGGCGUCCCAGUCCCAUCACCAAGAGCACGGCUGAUCCAAAGCCUAACGUCCCAGAGUGCAGAGUUUGUGAUGGAGGAGCACAUGCAGCUCAGCACUGGACUGUAGACCCAAGAGAGACACUUUUCAGUGACACACUCAUCAUCACUAAAUCAAAGUUAGUCCUCAGCAUCUAAAAAUAAUGUCCACUUACUGAACAAGUUGAAUAGGAAUAGAUGUGAACUAACAAUGGGAUAUUAGAAGUGAGCAUUUUGUCCUUCAUGUCAAUUGUGCAGAUUUGGAUCAUCUUAGGAUGAGUGGGGCACUUUAAUUUAAUAUAUAUAUAUAUAUAUAUAUAUAUAUAUAUAUAUAUAUAUAUAUAUAUAUAUACAGUGGGGCAAAAAAGUAUUUAGUCAGCCACCAAUUGUGCAAGUUCUCCCACUUAAAAAGAUGAGAGGCCUGUAAAUUUUUUAUGAAUUUAUUUACAAAUUAUGGUGGAAAAUAAGUAUUUGGUCAAUAACAAAAGUUUAUCUCAAUACUUUGUUAUAUACCCUUUGUUGGCAAUGACAGAGGUCAAACAUUUUCUGUAAGUCUUCACAAGGUUUUCGCACACUGUUGCUGGUAUUUUGACAUUUGAUGACAUCAGUUCAUCUGAGGCAAAGGAGAAAUGGCUUUCAUCUUUACAACGGUAAGGAAAUACUUACAAAACCCAGGUGUACAAUAUAAAAAUGACUUCUGAAAUUAAAUGUUGACACUUAGGAAAAAAAAGUGUUAUCUAGAACCUAAAAGGGUUAUUCGGCUGUCCUCAUAGGAGAACCCUUUUUUGGUUCUAGGUUUUUUUUUUCUUUGGGGUUCUAUGUAGAACCCUUUUCACAGAGGUUCUACAUGGAACACAAAAGGGUUCUACCUGGAACUAAAAAGUGUUAUGCUAUGGGACAUCCGAGGAACCCUGUUGGAACAAUUGUUUCUAAGAGUGUAGGAUUAUGUAUCUACCUGAUGCAGGCACAUUAAGAUAUCAGACAUGUAUAGCACUAAUAUAUGCCUAUUUGCCACAGGCACAUCACCAAAUCCAAGAAAGUGGAAUAUCCCAGCAAUCUAACCAUGAAGGUUGUUCUCAUAAAUAUUGGAACUAGUGCAAUGGUAAGGGAAUUCACUCAUCUACAACUACUGCUGCUUAUCCUAUGCUUAUUGACCAUUUCCCUCAAAUCUUUCAAUUCUAAAUGAUAUACAUUGAAUGAAUGUAUGACUUUUACUCCUAGUUAACAUGACAUUGAUUCAAGUAACCUCAGACAAUAUUUUCCAAUUCUAUAAGAAUAUGAAGGAAGUAUCUGUGUUUUGUGUUAAUGUAGACAACUGUGAAUGUGGACAAUAAUGACACAGGUACACAGGAUCGUCACCCAACAGUUAAGACUCACUGUGAGUUGUUGACACUAGUUAAUGUAGUCAUUAUGUCUUGGCUCUAUUAUUAGAUGUAAUCCAUAUUUUUGCUGUAUGG
ensembl:lncRNA